GACCCUAUAGAGUUUUAUAUUUUGUAGAAUUUAUUUUUUUUAGAAUUUAUAAAUUGAAUUUUAUUAAAUAUUUGGUUGGGGUGAUUGAAAAAUUAAAAAAACUUUUUUUAUAUUAAGUCAUUUAUUUAUGAAUAUUUGAUCCAUUAUUAGUGAUUAUAAGAUUAAAUUACCUUAGGGAUAACAGCGUAAUUUUUUUUGAGAGUUCAAAUCGAAAAAAAAGAUUGCGACCUCGAUGUUGGAUUAAAAUAAAUAUUUGGUGUAGAAGCUAAAUUAAUUGGGUCUGUUCGACCUUUAAAAUUUUACAUGAUCUG
rnacentral:rRNA from 1 species